UUACGGCCACAUCACGUUGAAACACCGAUUCCCGUACGAUCACAAAAGAUAAGAAACGUUGAGACUGGUCAGUACCUGGAUGGGUGACCGUUUGGGAAUCUCAGGUUCUGUAAG